GAGAGGCCUAAUUUUUGAGAAUGAGGUCCACUAAUUACCAGCUCUGUGAUCCUUGGCAAGUUGCUUAUCCUCACAAGCUAAAUGUUUAAUAAAUCAGUACAGAAGGCAUCAGGAGACACCAAAUAUGGUCAGGACACCGCACAGCAAUGAUUGGGAUGCAAGUCAUCUACAGGCUCACCACCAUUUGUCCUUCCUGCACAGUCGGGGCAUAACAUGUUAUCUUCUAUGCCUGGGGAUGGGAAAUUGCAGGCAGGUAACAAGAAGAGAGAAUUCAUCCUCCUGUGAGUGGUAGGCACCCAGGACUGACCUGCAUGAAACUGCAGGCCUACCCAACCCUUUGUGUCUGCUGAGAGAAGUCUGCCAUGGACCACACACCACCUGACGUGAGGGGUCAGCUUGUUAAUUCCUAUCUCACUUCCUUUACCACAUUCAUUUAUUAAUUCACCAAGUAUUUAUUCUCUUAUAAUAUGCCAGGCCUUGUUCUAGGCAGUGAGAAUGUUGCAGUGAACAGAAAUGCCUUUCCUCAUGGAGGUUAAUACUAGUGAGGGAGGUAGACGAUAAAAAAGGUAAAUACGUUAAAUGAAUGGUAGGUCAGGUAGUGACAAGUGUCAAGAAAGGGCAAAAGAAGCACAGCAGGCAGAGGCAGAGAAAGGGGGUUUCAAAAUCAGGUUGAGUGGCCAGGAAAGACCUCACUGAGAAGGUGACUUCCAGGAAAAGCCUGAAGAAAGUGAGGGAAAGAGUCAAAUGGAAAUCUAUGGAAAGUGUGUUCUAGCUUGUAUGAAGGCCCUGAGGCAACACAUGCCUGGAAUACUUGAGAAACAGCAAGAAGAUGACAUAGUUGGAAUGGAGUGAGUGAGAAUUGUUGGAGGUGAGGUCAGAGUGGUCAGGGGAGCUAGCUCAUGCUCACCGUCUUUUUGCACAUAGUAGGUGCACAGUAAA
rnacentral:lncRNA from 1 species